UAAGGAACUGGCGCUCGACUUUGAAGAAAUACACCGCCUCAAAGCCUCCCAGCCUACACAACUUUGACAGGCUGAUAGGGAGUGUCAUGUUGUGGCAACUCCAAAGCUCCUCAGAGUUGAUUUAUCACAUGCCGCGUGCAUCAGAACUGGGGCUAAUGGAGGAGGGGAGCCCAGAAAGCAUCCGUCUGCCUCUGCGGAGCAGAAAGGCCUCGCUUCAAACGGGCCAAGGAAACUCCUUUAAAGUCAGCAUCAGAGCAGCUCAGCCAAUAGGAUUCAAAGGCCUGCCUCUCAGCUGAGAUCUGCUCAGCCAUGUUACUGCCAGAAUUAUUGCUGCCACCUACAGUGUUAAAAAGACCUUUGUUUGCGACUGAUGACUUGAAGGGAUCGCCAGUAGCAUUUUUUCAAGAUGAGACAGAUCUUCAUAUACAGAACAAUUCUAAUUAAAAAACAUUAUUUCCUGCCUUUCCCCUGAAGGGCUCAAAGCAAUUUACAAAAAUAAAAAUAAAAAUCAAUAAAAAAAUUUCCAAAAAGACAAA